rnacentral:rRNA from 1 species
UACGAAGGGGGCUAGCGUUGCUCGGAUUGACUGGGCGUAAAGGGCGCGUAGGCGGAUAGUACAGUCAGGCGUGAAAUUCCUGGGCUCAACCUGGGGGCUGCGUUUGAUACGUAUUGUCUGGAGUUCGGAAGAGGGUCGUGGAAUUCCCAGUGUAGAGGUGAAAUUCGUAGAUAUUCGGAAGAACACCAGUGGCGAAGGCGGCUCACUGGACAUGUAUUGACGCUGAGGUGCGAAAAGCGUGGGGAGCAAACAGG